UACCUACGGGACGCAGCAGUGAGGAAUAUUGGUCAAUGGUCGGGAGACUGAACCAGCCAAGCCGCGUGAGGGAGGAAGGUACAGAGUAUCGUAAACCUCUUUUGUCAGGGAACAAAGACUGGGACGCGUCCCCGGAUGAGUGUACCUGAAGAAAAAGCAUCGGCUAACUCCGUGCCAGCAGCCGCGGUAAUACGGAGGGGGCAAGCGUUAUCCGGAUUUAUUGGGUGUAAAGGGAGCGUAGACGGCAGUGCAAGUCUGGAGUGAAAGGCGGGGGCUCAACCCCCGGCCUGCUCUGGAAACUGCAG
rnacentral:rRNA from 1 species